AAAAAUCUUAAAGAAAUCUAAAAGAAAUAUUAAAAAUAAAAAUCUUAAUUGAAUCCUUAUUAAAUUUUAAUACAAUCUUCAAUAAAACAUAAUAAAACUCUAAAUCAAUUCUAACCAAAAUUUAAACCAAAAUCUAAUGAAACCUUUUCUAAAUUCUAAUCAAAUCUUAAAUCCUAAUCCUAAACCAAGUCUUAAUAAAAUUCUAAAUCCUAAAUAUAUCCUAAUAAAAUCUUAGAUAAAUUCUAAUCAAAUUCUAAAUUCUAAUCCUUGACUAAAUUCAAAUAAAAUUCUAAAUCCUAAACGAAUCUUAAUCCAAACUUAAAUAAAUACUAAUUAAAUCUUAAUUCUUAGAUCAAAUCU
rnacentral:lncRNA from 1 species